rnacentral:rRNA from 1 species
AGUGAACGCUGGCGGUAGGCCUAACACAUGCAAGUCGAACGGCAGCACAGUAAUAGCUUGCUCUUACGGGUGGCGAGUGGUGGACGGGUGAGGAAUACAUCGGAAUCUACUUUUUCGUGGGGGAUAACGUAGGGAAACUUACGCUAAUACCGCAUACUACUUACGGGUGAAAGCAGGGGAUCUUCGGACCUUGCGCGAUUGAAUGCGCCGAUGUCGGAUUAGCUAGUUGGCGGGGUAAAGGCCCACCAAGGCGACGAUCCGUAGUUGGUCUGAGAGGAUGAACAGCCACACUGGAACUGAGACACGGUCCAGACUCCUACGGGAGGCAGCAGUGGGGAAUAUUGGACAAUGGGCGGAAGCCUGAUCCAGCCAUACCGCGUGGGUGAAGCAGGCCUUCGGGUUGUAAAGCCCUUUUGUUGGGAAAGAAAAGCAGCAGGUUAAUACCCCGCUGUUCUGACGGUACCCAAAGAAUAAGCACCGGCUAACUUCGUG